AACGCGAAGAACCUUACCUGGACUUGACAUGCAUUUGACAGCUUCAGAAAUGAAGUCUUCUCGCAAGAGACAGAUGCACAGGUGCUGCAUGGCUGUCGUCAGCUCGUGCCGUGAGGUGUUGGGUUAAGUCCCGCAACGAGCGCAACCCUUGUCGUUAGUUGCCAACAUGUAAUGGUGGGCACUCUAGCGAGACUGCCUAGGUUAACUAGGAGGAAGGUGAGGAUGACGUCAAGUCCGCAUGGCCUUUAUGUCCAGGGCUACACACGUGCUACAAUGGUCGGUACAGAAGGCAGCGAAGUCGUGAGAUGAAGCAAAUCCCCAAAGCCGGCCCCAGUUCAGAUUGGAGUCUGCAACUCGACUCCAUGAAGAUGGAAUUGCUAGUAAUGGCGGGUCAGCAACACCGCCGUGAAUACGUUCCCGGGCCUUGUACACACCGAGUAUA
rnacentral:rRNA from 1 species